rnacentral:rRNA from 5 species
GACUCUCGGCAACGGAUAUCUCGGCUCACGCAUCGAUGAAGAACGUAGCAAAAUGCGAUACUUGGUGUGAAUUGCAGAAUCCCGUGAACCAUCGAGUUUUUGAACGCAAGUUGCGCCCGAAGCCAUUUGGCCGAGGGCACGUCUGCCUGGGCGUCACGC